AUCACGUGAAACAGGUUCUGCCUGGCGUGGAUCCGGAGAGUAAGCGCUGGGAAAGGUUGUCAAAGGAAAGGAAAAGCAAAACAGCACAAUUUUCACUCUUAUCCUAACAAAAUGUUCAAGAAAUUACGAGAGAAGAUUACUGAGGAGGUACAACAGACUUCAUUAAGGCUACCUGUGUCUGUACAGCAGUCGGUUCAACAAUUAACACAGAAUUCAGCAACGGAGCAAUGGCUCGAGACUGUAAAAGAUGGGAGCCAGUUGAGUGACUGGAUGGCCAGACAAGUGACCCGUGCUCAGCGCUUACCCAAGACAC